UCCAGUGUCUGUGAUGACUUUUUUUUCCCCGGCAGACCGACCAUGUUGACUGCCUAUGAAUUUAAGCCAAAGACUUCUGAGCCACUGAA